rnacentral:rRNA from 1 species
GAUGAACGCUGGCGGCGUGCUUAACACAUGCAAGUCGAACGAUGAAGCCCAGCUUGCUGGGUGGAUUAGUGGCGAACUGGUGAGUAACACGUGAGUAACCUGCCCUUAACUCUGGGAUAAGCCUGGGAAACUGGGUCUAAUACCGGAUAGGAGCGUCCACCGCAUGGUGGGUGUUGGAAAGAUUUAUCGGUUUUGGAUGGACUCGCGGCCUAUCAGCUUGUUGGUGAGGUAAUGGCUCACCAAGGCGACGACGGGUAGCCGGCCUGAGAGGGUGACCGGCCACACUGGGACUGAGACACGGCCCAGACUCCUACGGGAGGCAGCAGUGGGGAAUAUUGCACAAUGGGCGCAAGCCUGAUGCAGCGACGCCGCGUGAGGGAUGACGGCCUUCGGGUUGUAAACCUCUUUCAGUAGGGAAGAAGCGAAAGUGACGGUACCUGCAGAAGAAGCACCGGCUAACUACGUG